CAACUACUCCCUCUGUCCCAAAUUUCUUGUCUUAGAUUUGUCUAGAUACGGAUGUAUCUAAUACUAAAAUGUGACUUGAUACAUCCGUAUCUAGACAAAUCUAACACAAGAAUUUUGGGACGGAGGGAGUACUUU
rfam:Triticum aestivum genome assembly, contig: Triticum_aestivum_CS42_TGACv1_scaffold_056684_1BS